rnacentral:rRNA from 1 species
CGGACGGGUGAGUAACGCGUGGGUAACCUGCCUUGUACUGGGGGACAACAGUUAGAAAUGACUGCUAAUACCGCAUAAGCGCACAGUAUCGCAUGAUACAGUGUGAAAAACUACCGGUGGUACAAGAUGGACCCGCGUCUGAUUAGCUAGUUGGUAAGGUAACGGCUUACCAAGGCGACGAUCAGUAGCCGACCUGAGAGGGUGACCGGCCACAUUGGGACUGAGACACGGCCCAA